GAUGAACGCUAGCGGCAGGCCUAACACAUGCAAGUCGAGGGGCAGCACAUAAAGUGGUUUACUACUUUUGGUGGCGACCGGCGGACGGGUGCGUAACGCGUAUGCAACCUGCCUCCACCAGGGGGUUAACGGAGAGAAAUUUCCACUAAUACCCCAUAAUAUCAGAAUCGGCAUCGGUUUUGGUUGAAAACUCCGGUGGUUGGAACAGGGCAUGCGUUGUAUUAGAUAGUUGGUGGGGUAACGGCUCACCAAGUCAACGAUACAUAGGGGGACUGAGAGGUUAGCCCCCCACACUGGUACUGAGACACGGACCAGACUCCUACGGGAGGCAGCAGUGAGGAAUAUUGGUCAAUGGGGGCAACCCUGAACCAGCCAUGCCGCGUGCAGGAAGACGGCUCUAUGAGUUGUAAACUGCUUUUACAAGGGGAUAAAUCGGUGUACGUGUACACCGUUGAAGGUACCUUGGGAAUAAGGAUCGGCUAACUCCGUGCCAGCAGCCGCGGUAA
rnacentral:rRNA from 1 species